rnacentral:lncRNA from 1 species
UGCUUUCCAGUAAUCUAUUGCAUUAGUGAAACAUGGAAUCUGAUAGUUAAGAUUUGUCAGACAGUAUCCAACUCUAGGUAAUCUGUUUGGUAGUGUGGAAGUAAUUCCAUCUUAGUUGACUGGUUUGAGAAGAGCAUGAUCUGGAAGAAGAGAUAUAACUGGGCAAACCGGAAUCUAUUCCUUUUUAGGGUAGCAGUUAAGGUAAUGAUUUGUCGAAUGGAUUCAAGACAAAGGGCCAGCACCAUUAACCAGGAAGAAAAAAUGAUUAACCUAUGAGUGGCUAAAAUAUGAUCUCCAGAAGUGAUCCCACACCCCCUAAACGGAGAGCAUUGUAGAAAAAUUUCACUACACCAGAAAAAGUUUAUGCUUUGGAAAUUUGUCUUUCCUGCAGUGUUAUAAACAUCCUAGCCCCAAUCCUAACUACUCAGAGAGUAUUAUUUCUCCCCCUCUCCUUGGGCAAGCAAUUAAGAUGUCAGCUCCAAAUUUAGAAAGAGGAUUAAAAUAGGCUUAACGUUAAAAGGAUUGGCUUGUUGAGUAAAAUUUCCACUCACCAUCUUAUGUUUUAGAAAGUAGAAAAUUCCAUCAUCAAGGUGCUAUUUUGUUACAUGAGGUGGAAAGCUGAGUUAGGUAGGAGCAGGAAUCUAUGCUGACAGUUGUGUUGUUACCAAAGUUAAAUAGAGAAUCACAAGCAGCAAGGCAGCUCUGCAAAAAAAAACAAAUUAGAACCUGGAAGCUUCUUCUGGUUUAAAGACCUGGAGUUUUCCCAGCGGAGAGAUAAUAAUAACAGAAAAACGAUGUUUCCUACUGGAGACUAUUUAAACCUAUAUGAUUGGAAGCUAUAUCAUAGAGAGAAGAGCAUGGGAUUGGAACCUAGUAAUUCAGGCUCUUUCAUGUACUGAUUUUUAUAAACUAAGACAACUAACUCCACUUCCCUGAGUCUUGGUUUCUUUAACUGUAAGACAUGGAUAAUAAUACUUAUAUUUCAUAGUUGUUGUAAAAAUUAGAAAUAAUGUUAGUUGCUCAGUGCUAUGCAGCUGAGCAAUUCAAAUUCCACAGCUCAUGUCUUUAGUUCAAUGGAAAGUACAAAUUGAGAUGUAAGAAAUUAACAUUCAAGGAGAGUCUGUUACUUAAAAAAAAAAAACACUUUGAUACAAAUCAUUUUAUAAAGUAAAUAAUUCUGUGACAAUGUGGCAAUGGCUUAUUACUCAUUUAUAUUUUUAUAAAGGAGAUUUCUUUAAAAAGGAGCAUACAUCAACUUUUUUAGGACAUGACUCAAACAAAUGAUGUCCUGAGUCUUUGCACCAGAGACAACCUGGCCUGUGAUCUGCGGGUUAGAACCAUCUUUCAAGAAGCUUGCAAUAAAUGGUUUCUCCAGAAAUAAGGGUCACUUAUCCUGAUGCUGAGGGGAGAAAAAGAUGUCACUGUCCCUUCUCUAAAAAAGGUGUAUAAAAUGCCAAAUCAUCUGUGGUAUCUUUCCUUAAAAUUUCUCUACCCCAGCAAAUUGCUCCUUUUGCUAUUAUUCCAUAGCACUUUGUUCAUACCACAAUGUCCAUCUAUGUAGGAUAAGUACCAAUAAUAGCUAAUAUUUAUUAAGUACUUGUUAUGUGCCAGGUUCUGUACCAAGGAUUUGACAUAUAAUAAACCAUUUAAAUAUCUGUAUAAGGCUAAAAAGAAGGUGCUGGUAUUGCCUCCUUUAAUGCAUGAUAAAACUAAGUCACAAAGCAGCUAAGCCAUUUGCCAAAUGCUGUCUAGCUGGGAAGUGAUAUUGUCAAGGUCUGAAGACAGACCUGGUUUGCUUCCAUAGUCUAUGCUCUUAACUAUGUCAAGCUGGCAUUGCUUCUGUGGGUUGCACAUUUGAGAGUCAAUCCAUUGUAACUAUUUGGCUUAUUUGGUGGGAUAUUGUCGUUGAAGCAGGAUCUGCAAGAGCAGUAAUCCUGGUGAUGCAGAAAUAAUCAGUAAGAGAAACAGAGGGUGGCCAGAGAAAAGAUUUUUCUCCCUCAAAGUUUUUCUAAAGGCUACACUCAAAUGAGACAGAAGUCUAGAGUGCUGAUAUGCUGAUAAACUGCUUACCAAUGCUGAGCACAUUUGUCAACAACUGCAUUCUGUAUAUUAGAUAUGAAAUAAAGAAAAAUCAUCUAAUACUGUCUAUUUGUUCUGACUGGAGGAAUGGAAAAAGAGUGCCCGUACCCACACCCACUUGUUAGGGCUACUUAAUAUGGAUUCAUUUCCCUGAAAAUGCUCCAGACUUUUCUCCCUGCAGGAUAUAGUACCUUCUGCUCCCUCUGCAAGGUGACCUCUCAUUGUCAGCCUAAUUCUUCCUCCUCAUUCAUAUGAACUAGUGGGCAUCUUUGCAUGGGAACUCUUCCCUGACUCCUGUGCCCAAGUGUGGGACUUUGCCUCUUAUAGCCAUUACACUCUGUAUAGCUCUCUGCUGCCUGGCCUCCUGCCGAAAAGGCACAGGUGAAGAAAAACUUGCCAACUGGAAUCUUAAUUCUACUACUGACCAUCCAACAAACUUUAGGCAAGUUAUUUAUAUUCUCUAAGCUUCAAAUUUUUAUCAUGAAAAGAAUAAUAGCACCUAUCUCAUGAGUUUGUGGUGAGGAUUUUUUAAAUGAAUGUGAAAAGCUUAAGAGUCCCUGGUACAGAGUGAAAUAUCUAUGGCUGCUAUUAUUAGUAAUAGUCAUAGGUAUUCCAUAAAAGUCUAUCAACUCAAUCCAAAGAGCUGGAGAUCAGAAUCACAAUACAUGGUCACCUUGGGCUAUUUUUAUCACUUUAGGGAGAUUUGAAGACAGUGAUUCUUAGAUGUCAGCUCUAAUUACUGACUUCAGGGUGACGCCAGAACUUACUGUCCUUGAUGGGGACCCAUGUUGAAACACUACUACACAUAUUCAUGUUUUUUUCUGGCCCAGUUGCUUUCUCCUCUGAACUCUGGGUUUCAAAUAUCACAUCAGCAUUUCCUCUGCUGACAGCGUUACAAGUUCAGGGAUACUGCUCCUUGGGGCAUGGUUGGCUGCUUCUGGUAAACAGUUCUCAGUGUGUUUACUAUAGUUUUGCAAAGAAGCUGGGGAGGAAUUGAGUUUGAGACCCUGGGGAGCAUCAUAGACAGAGGCAGAGGCUGAGAGUUGGCUUCAUUUCUUCUUUGAGAACACAUUCAGUUUGUCACCCCAUUUUAUUUAUUUAUUUAUUUAUUAUUUACUUUUUUUUUAAUAGCCACACCUGAGGCCUAUGGAAGUUUCCAGGUGAGAAGUCAAAUCAGAACUGCAGCUGCCGGCCUAUGCAACAACCACAGCAACAUGAGAUCUGAGCUGUGUCUGCAACCUAAACUGCAGCUCAGGGCAAGGACUGAUCUUUAACUCACUGAGUAAGGCCAGGAAUCAAACUUGCUUUCUCAUGGAUACUACAUUGUGUUCUUAACCUGCUGAGCCACAGUGGGAACUCCCAUCAUCCUACUUUAAAGUUGUAGAAAGUUAACUGUUUCUCCCGUUACCUUUCUGGAUGGCCCUCUCCCUCUAUGCAUUGCUCUUCUUUAUCAUUAAAUUUACUGGGACCCAGAGCCCUUUGGAACACUUCCCCCCUGGCAAUUCCAGGCUUCCAGGCUGCUGAGGGAGGUUGGAAAGGGUAGGACAGGGUCUAUCUUAUGAUCAUCUCCCCAUGUUCCAUGUCCCACUCCUACAAAUUGAUUUUAUAAUAGAGGCCCAUUUGAUUGCACCUUUGUUUCUGGCUCCCCUGCUUUGGACAUUUGAUUUCACUUCCCUAGGUAGCACAAUUGCUUACUUUCAAAUAAACAAAAAGGAAAUAGUUUUGGACCAUGGACUAAGAAACUAAAAUCACUUUCAUUCUAUUUUUAUAUUGCUAUGUGACCUUGAGCAAAUCAUUCCACUUCUCAGAUCCUCAGAUUUCUAGUCUAGGACAUUAGUAAACUGGAAUAUUUCUCUCUGGAAUUUGCUUUGGAAUUUUAUAAUUAUGUUGAAAGUGUAAGGCUCCUGGAAGGCUUAAUAGGUCAAUAUCCAGGGACAAGAGAACAUCCUCAGAUCCCUUCAUCAUCCUAUCAACAUCUCUCAAUAACCAGUUAAUGUACAAAUUUUGACUUUAUAUUUUAAAAAAAGGUAAUUUGUAAGGCUGGCUGAGUCAGAUCAUACCUGUCAUAGUCUAACCAGGUUUGCCAUACCCUGGGAUAAGUGGGAAGACCCAUCUAUGGCAAGAUUUUUCCAAUUUCCCUGAUAAAGUGUCUCCCGCAGAUUGUGUACUUCAGAGGGUGUGGAAUGUAAAUCUAAUUAGCAUGGUGAAAGGCUGGAAGUGCUUUCAUGUCUCAUUUUAUCCUCAAAUUCAUACACAUUUUAUGCUGUGAUGUUUGUUUUAAUAAAAACAAUGUCUGAGACUAUUAAACAUGAAGUAGAAUGAAUGCUCUAAAAAUAUGAAUUUGUUUGGUGCUGUAGGCACCCUUCUAGAGUAUAUUAACUUCAAUCCAAGAAUAAUUUAUAGUGUAGGUGGGAUCAAGAUGGCAGAGUAGGAAAAACCUGAGCUAACCUCCCCCACAAACACAUCAAAACUCCAAAUACAUAUAGAAAAUCCCUGACUGAGAACAACCUGAAGACCAGCAGAAUAACUCUUUAAAACCAAGACUAUAAAGAAAAAAACAAGAAGGAGUCUGGUAGGAGGGCAGGAGGAGUGAUUUAGUUGGGACUCAAGCCCCUAGCAAGUGACCCAAAAGAGGAGGGUGAUAUCAACAACUUGAGGAUGCACCUCAAGGAACAAGAGGUUCAAACCUGAUAUUAGCCACCCUAGCUCUAGGGUCAAGCACCAGGAAGAUGAGCCCCCUUAGCUGUUUUGAAAAACAGAGAGGCUUACAUGAGAGCUGAAAAAAACUUAGACUCUGCUCUUGAAGAGCACAUGCACAGACUUGCUUGUCUCAGUCUUGGAGCAGAGGCAGUAGCUUGAUAGUUGAUUUGUGUGCUGUCUCAUUUUCCAAGACUGCCUUAGCAUGUCCCUCAGCCCACCUGGGCUCCUGCUCCAGCACUACUCCCCACUAAGGCAGAGAUCUUCAUUGCAAUCAUGCACACACAUGUCAGGGAAAAGCAGAACUAGCUCAUAAGUGAGUUUCCAGGCCCUGAGGCCCCAGCCAUGCCUUCAACCAAGGCAAAGUCUGCCAUAACUCCAGGAAGAAGCCCAAAUUUCUCAGGGCAUCUGCUUCAGGCCUUUGGCCCUGUGAUAGGGCAGUGACCACUAUUGAGCCUGGGAGAAGCCUUGGCUACACACAAAACUGGCUCUAGUUUUUGUGACUCCAGUCCUACCUCCCACCAAGGUGAUGGCUGCCAGUACACCCUAGCACAAGACAUGGCCAAUGGUCAUUUCAGAUCCACCUCACCCACAGGAGCCAUUGGGCACACACAGACAUCAGGGAUGCUCCAACAAAAGGAUACUCUUUCAAGACUGGGACAGGUAAUUGCUACACAUAAUUUCACAGAGACAGAGAAAGUCAAAUAAAUUAAGAUGACAGAGGAAUAUAUUCCAAAUGAAAGAUCAAGAUUAAAAUCC